rnacentral:lncRNA from 1 species
CACCUGCCUCUGCCUGCUGCUGAGUGCUGGGAUUAAAGGUGAUUCCUCAGACCCUGUUCAACUGUCCUGUGGGCCUGGACAAGAAAGCUGCUCAUCAUUGGAGGGUAGGCCUACCUGCUCAUCUUGAGAAGCACCAGAGAUCGACUUCUGUUUGCUGAAGACGACACGGAUUAACCCAUUGUGAGACAGUCCAGGAUGAAUAGAAAAUGAAGCAGCGCAGAUCAUAGGAGAAAUAUGGUAAGAAAUGGGGCGACCAUGUUUAAAGAAGUCACUUUUUGUGAUAGGACUUUAAGGGUCACUCAAAAUAUGAGGAACUAGGUUUAAGAAAAAGGAUUUCAUAAAAUUUUUAGAUUUUGUGGGAGACAUUUGUUCAUGGUUCCUCCAGAGGGAACAA